AGUGAACGCUGGCGGUAGGCCUAACACAUGCAAGUCAAACGGCAGCACAGGAGAGCUUGCUCUCUGGGUGGCGAGUGGCGGACGGGUGAGGAAUACAUCGGAAUCUACUCUGUCGUGGGGGAUAACGUAGGGAAACUUACGCCAAUACCGCAUACGACCUACGGGUGAAAGCAGGGGAUCUUCGUACCUUGCGCGAUUGAAUGAGCCGAUGUCGGAUUAGCUAGUUGGCGGGGUAAAGGCCCACCAAGGCGACGAUCCGUAGCUGGUCUGCGAGGAUGAUCAGCCACACUGGAACUGAGACACGGUCCAGACUCCUACGGGAGGCAGCAGUGGGGAAUAUUGGACAAUGGGCGCAAGCCUGAUCCAGCCAUACCGCGUGGGUGAAGAAGGCCUUCGGGUUGUAAAGCCCUUUUGUUGGGAAAGAAAUCCAGCUGGCUAGUACCCGGUUGGGAUGACGGUACCCAAAGAAUAAGCACCUGCUAACUUCGUGCCAGCCGCCGCGGUAA
rnacentral:rRNA from 1 species